rnacentral:rRNA from 1 species
UGGGGGCAACCCUGAUCCAGCAAUGCCGCGUGUGGGAAGAAGGCCUUGGGGUUGUAAACCACUUUUGGCAGGGAAGAAAUGUCGAAUAUUAAUACCAUUCGGCGAUGACGGUACCUGCAGAAUAAGCACCGGCUAACUACGUGCCAGCAGCCGCGGUAAUACGUAGGGUGCAAGCGUUAAUCGGAAUUACUGGGCGUAAAGCGUGCGCAGGCGGUUGGAUAANACAGGUGUGAAAUUCCCGGGCUCAACCUGGGAACUGCAUUUGUGACU